CAGUAGCCGCGGUAAUACGAAGGGUGCAAGCGUUAAUCGGAAUUACUGGGCGUAAAGCGUGCGUAGGCGGUGAGUUAAGUCUGCUGUGAAAUCCCCGGGCUCAACCUGGGAAUGGCAGUGGAUACUGGCUCGCUAGAGUGUGUCAGAGGAUGGUGGAAUUCCCGGUGUAGCGGUGAAAUGCGUAGAGAUCGGGAGGAAUAUCAGUGGCGAAGGCGGCCAUCUGGGACAACACUGACGCUGAGGCACGAAAGCGUGGGGAGCAAACAGGAUUAGAUACCCCAGUAGUCCCUGUCUCUUAUAC
rnacentral:rRNA from 1 species